rnacentral:rRNA from 1 species
GCUAUCCGCCUGGGAACUACGAGCAUUAGCUUAAAACCCAAAGGACUUGGCGGUGCUUUAGACCCACCUAGAGGAGCCUGUUCUAUAACCGAUGACCCCCGUUCAACCUCACCUUUUCUUGUUUUAUUCCGCCUAUAUACCGCCGUCGUCAGCUUACCCUGCAGAGGGAACACACAGUAAGCACAAUUGGUAAUACCCAAAACGUCAGGUCGAGGUGUAGCGUAUGAAAAGGGAAGAAAUGGGCUACAUUCCCUGUCACAGUGAAUACGGAUGAUAUUGCUGAAACGUAUAUCUAGAAGGAGGAUUUAGCAGUAAGUAGGAAGCAGAGCGUUCUACUG